rnacentral:misc_RNA from 1 species
AUGCCUGCGUAUCUAACUACGGAACACCAGUUUCGGGGGAAGCUUUCACAUUCGGAAACCUUUAUCAAAUUGACAAUUUUUCAUUUAUAUUACACUAA